GACGAACGCUGGCGGCGUGCUUAACACAUGCAAGUCGAACGGACAGACAGAGAGCUUGCUCUCUUGAAGUUAGUGGCGAACGGGUGAGUAACGCGUAAUCAACCUGCCCUUCAGAGGGGGAUAACAACGGGAAACCGUUGCUAAUACCGCGUACGAUUCAUGAACGGCAUCGUUUCUGAAUGAAAGGUGGCCUCUAUGUAUAAGCUAUCGCUGAAGGAGGGGAUUGCGUCUGAUUAGCUAGUUGGAGGGGUAACGGCCCACCAAGGCAAUGAUCAGUAGACGGGCUGAGAGGAGAAACGGCCACAUUGGGACUGAGACACAGCCCAAACUCCUACGGGAGGCAGCAGUGGGGAAUCUUCCGCAAUGGACGAAAGUCUGACGGAGCAACGCCGCGUGAGUGAUGAAGGUCUUCGGAUUGUAAAGCUCUGUUAAUCGGGACGAAAGAGUUCUGCGUGAAUAAUGCAGAAAAGCGACGGUACCGGAAUAGAAAGCCACGGCUAACUACGUGCCAGCCGCCGCGGUAA
rnacentral:rRNA from 1 species